UGGAUAGACUACAGACUUUCCUGACCUCCUGAAUAAAACUGAGGUUAUACCUACCUUGCAAGAUUAGCCUAAGAAGGAAGUAAGUUCUGAGUCCCCUCACCAUCCCCCAUCAACCUCUCUGGGCACUCCCGCAAAUGAAUUGUGCUUGCUGGCUGUGUGCCUCCCAGGCCUUUGGGGGUGGGAGGCAUUCCUUCUUGCCCUGAAUGGGACAAGACCCGCGCGGAAGGAGAGUCGUAUUUGGUAGUCGGGGAUUCUUUUUCCCCCAGCUCCUACACUGGAGGGGAGAUUAGAGCAUUAUUUCUAGGUAUGAGGGAAGCCUUGCAGGAGGUGAGUUCCAGUUUCUACCACUGCUUUGCGGAACAAUCUAAUUUCUAUGUCUGCCUUGCGGAAGAGGAUCAGAAGAAAGGUCAGAAGGAUUCUGCUUCUAAGCCGGAUUCCUUCAGUUCAAAGUAUCCGGCGCGUUCUGAGCCCCAACCAUAUCUUCUCAGAAUAUUCGGCUACAAGAUGCUAAGGGUGCUCUAGGAAGUCGGCGUCUCCAUCCCCAACCCCAGCAAGGAAGUAAGCACAGCCGCCGCGCCCCACCCAGCGCUCCGGCGGCUUUGAAAGCGCAGUGUGGGGCGCAGGGUCCCUGGAGAAUUUCUCCAGGUGGGUGGAGACCCUGGGGACCACCUUCAGCCUCUCUGCCGCAGACGGCUCCCGUCCGCAGGGCUUGGCAUCCUGGGGGACCGCCAGGCGCAAAGUCCCCG
rnacentral:lncRNA from 1 species